UUACACCUCUCUUUCUCUUCAUCUUCUAUCUUCCUCAGUGCAGAUCUUUCUCUCAGCAAUUUUCAUCUGCAAUCAAUUAUAUUCAUAAUCGCAAAAAUCAUAUGCGUUUGUCUCUGUGUUCUAUGUUGAUAGAUCUAUUUCGCAUCAUUUUAUGAACAAAAGCUACAUGUAUUUUAUUUUGUAUCUAUGAAAAAUUAUGCCUACAACAAUUUUUCUUUGUUUAAAGAACAUUAAUUAUAAUUCAUUUAGGAACACAGUGAUAGUCUAUUUUUUUCAGCUAGGAGAUCAAAUAUGCUUCUUUGUCUUGUUGAUGGGAUUAAUAUGUUCCUGAUCAAUUCGUUAACAGAAGCAACAUAUACAUGGCAUUGUGCCCACUUUGUUAUGUGGUUCAUAUCUGUGAACAACAGUGUGGGCUAUGUCUAUAUUAUUAGACAUUUAUAAUACAAAAAUAUAUUUCAUCAGGAUUUUAGAAAUCAUAUAUUAUUAAUAAGAUAUAUUAUUUUGCAAGUAUGGUUUAUAUUUCUAUUAAUAAUUUUCACUACUUAAAUCUUGAAAUUUCCAAAUUUUUUUUAGUAGAGAAAACUUAACAAAUUAUAUAUUUUGUAAGAUUGUAUUCAUUUAUAUGAUAGUUCGGCAAUGAAAAUCAGAUCAUAUUGAUGACUAAUAAUUCUUAAUCUGUUAUUUUUUCUAUCAAAAGAAAAUUAUAAUUUUGUGAAAUUAGUUUAUAAGCCCUAAGGGAUUGCAAUUAUCUUAUAAUAUAUAUUAUAAUUUAAUCAAAUAAAAUAAAUUAAUAAAGUUUAUAAAAUUAUAUAUCUCUAAAAAUUAAUAUAAUAAUUCAUAAAUUAUGAUCUACUCAAACAAAUAUGACCUGAAUAAUAUAAUAGGUACACACUAUUAAAACUUGAUUUCAUCUUUUGAAUUUAUUUUAACUAUAAUAAAUAAUAAAUUCUUUAAGACUUAUUUUUAAAUAAUGUGCUAUAUCUUUAUAAUUAUAUAUAUAUCAUUUUAAUAUACAUAACUUUAUUUUUUUUUGAAAAAAAUAUACAUAACUUAUUGAAAAUGAACUUACUUUCAAAUGUCAUGUUAUUUUAGUUAAAAAGCAAAUUGAAUACUUAAAAUAUAAAUUCGUUGGAUAUAUAUUUUAAAUAUUUUUCAAACACAAUGAAUUUAGUUAAAUAUUAUUAUUUCUCAAACAACAAUCCACAAACAAUCCAUAUGUUAUCUAGGUUGACGGGUAAGCUGUUACAGCAAAUCCAAGAAUGCCCUAAAAUCAUGUCCUAAAUCAAAAUUUAAGGUAUUUGAAGUAAAAUGGUGCUCCAACAAUAUCGUAGUAGUGCCUCAAAACACUAGGACAUCAAACAAAUGCCUUAUUUUUGAGUCACAAUCAUGCACGCCCUAAACCAUUUCUAUCAAUAAAAUAUUAGUUUACCCACAUUCCAACACACCUCUCUUCUCUUUUUUUUUUCAAUUCCCUCCAACAAUAAUUCAAAUAUACUAUUAUUUAAAUAAUAAGGCACAAUAAUAAGGCAUAUUGUUGGAGUUGUUAUAUUAAAAUGAUGUCCUAAAUCACUAGGACAUUAUUUUUUUAUUAUAUAUAUAGGGCACUUGCUAGGACAUUGCUGGACUUGCUCUUAGGUGGUUGAGUGGUGGAAUGAAUAUGGUUGAAUUAUAAUAUUUAUAGUAAUUAAUUUAGAAUAUUAUUAAAUUAAUAUUUAUAUACAUUUUUGAGUUAUUAAUUUCAUUUUGUGUUAAUAAUUUACAUAAACUGAUAUAAAUGAUAAUGAAAAUAAAAGAAAAAAAUUUUGAUUCCUGAAAUCGAGGUUUCAUAUCCACCUCCCCAUGAGUAUGAGAUUCACGGGUUUGAGGAAUAGGUUUGAUGAAACAAAAUUCUUAACCAAACACCAGGUAUUGAAAUAAACAAAACUCAUGCGAGAAAAUCGUUAGCCAAACGAUUCCUUGCUAUGAAUGAAUAUAUAAUUUAUAUUUGAAAAUUGUAAUAUUCAGACUAAUUAAGAUUUUAGAUUUUGAAUAUAGUACGAGUCAUUGAUUUUUGGUUGGAAAACCAAAAGCAGUAUUAGACAAUAUAUUCGGAAGUUUGUGAAAAAUAAAUUGAUUUUAGUUUCGAAUUGGUCGGAAACCAAAAAUAGUAUUACAUCGUAUAUUCGAAAGUGAUGAAAAUAAAUUGAUUUUUUUUAAUAAUAAAUAUCACCAAAAUUAAAUUGAUUUUAAUUUCGAAUUCCAACAUUAUUUUUUGAUUUAGUGAUCUCCUUCCUGCCGCCUGCAUUAACCAGCAUAGCACCGGAUAGAUGUCAAAUGACUUUGUCAACGAAUUUUUCUAAAAUUUCAAAUAGGCUAAAAUACAUUUUUAUCAUUCAAAUUCGUCUUGGUGGACACACCAACCAUGCAUGUUCAAAAAAAUCCUGUUCGACCAUACUAGUUUAACCAAUCGUACUCCCUGACCACAAACCGGAAAAAUGAACCCAACACACAGGCGUUUGUUGUGCACUCGCGGUUCAGUGUAAUGCAAAAUUGGCAAGCUUCUCUUCUUCCCUCUUCUUUCUCGCACUCGCACAGUGCAUGAAUCAACAUAGUUUGUGAAAUUAAAUCAGUUCUAUGUAUAUGUUGUUAACUUGUUAUUACUCUAUUGAAAACUCGUACAUCUUCAACAUCUAAACUAACCAGCUUAACUCAAUUUGAUGGCCACUUGUAUACUCGCAACAGCUCAGAUUGCCGGCAAUGGAGCUCCGGUCUCCAUUGCCGUCGUUGAACCACUGUCGUCAUUUACUUAAACCGUUUUUGCUGUAAUUCUUCUUCGUAAUACUAUUUUUCGCAGGUAAAUCAAAUUUUCAUGCAAUCAUGUAACUCCCAGUAUCUCUUUUGAUAUGUCGUAGGCUUGUGUCUUUAGGUUUGCUUAUUCUGGUAGUUCUAAGUUUUAGGGCUUAAAUUUGAAAUAACCAUCCAAGUUUGCACAAAUGUACACACCAGCCACCAAAGAAAAAAACUCGAUAGCUUGGGCAUCCAGCUUCUGAAUUUGUACAGUACGGCCAUUUCCAGAGCUAAUGACUCGGGUUCGUGAGAGAGUGAUUUACACUCUCUGAUUUCUGCAGGUGAAUGGUGAAGAAUUCAGGAGUAAACAGUGGUGAACAUGACAACCAUCAAGUGUUGAGGACUUCAUGGACUGAUGCUAAUCCAGGGCGUAGGUUCUGGGGUUGUAGCCAAUACAUGAGAAAUCAAAGACGAGGUUGUAACUUCCACUUGUGGCAUGACCCGGCUGUUGGAGAUAGAGCAAAGAACAUCAUUCCUGGCUUACUCAGAAAGAUUCAACGACUCGAAGAAGAAAUGAAGAGAAACAGAAAGAAGGAGAAGAUGCUUGUAUUUUGUUUGAUUACCACAGUUGUAAUCAUAUUUGUGCUUCUUGCAGUUUGUGUGUCCAUGUUCA